rnacentral:rRNA from 1 species
UAGGGAAUCUUUGGCAAUGGGGGCAACCCUGACCGAGCAACGCCGCGUGAGUGAAGAAGGUUUUCGGAUCGUAAAGCUCUUUUGUAAGAGAAGAACGUUUGUGAGAGUGGAAAGUUCAGACAGUGACGGUAACUUACCAGAAAGGGACGGCUAACUACGUGCCAGCACCCGCGGUAAUACGUAGGUCCCGAGCGGUGUCCGGAUUUAUUGGGCGUAAAGCGAGCGCAGGCGGUUUAAUAAGUCUGAUGUUAAAGGCAGUGGCUUAACCAGUGUACUCUUUGGAAAAUGUUAAACUUGAGUGAAGAAGGGGAGAGUGGAAUUACAUGUGUAGCGAUGAAAUGCGUAGAUGUAUGGAGGAACAACGGUGGCGAAAGCGGCUCUCUGGGAUGUAACUGACGCUGAGGCUCGAAAGCGUGGGGAGGAAACAGG